rnacentral:rRNA from 1 species
GACGAACGCUGGCGGCGUGCCUAAUACAUGCAAGUCGAACGCUUCUUUCCUCCCGAGUGCUUGCACUCAAUUGGAAAGAGGAGUAGCGGACGGGUGAGUAACACGUGGGUAACCUACCCAUCAGAGGGGGAUAACACUUGGAAACAGGUGCUAAUACCGCAUAACAGUUUAUGCCGCAUGGCAUAAGAGUGAAGGGCGCUUUCGGGUGUCGCUGAUGGAUGGACCCGCGGUGCAUUAGCUAGUUGGUGAGGUAACGGCUCACCAAGGCCACGAUGCAUAGCCGACCUGAGAGGGUGAUCGGCCACACUGGGACUGAGACACGGCCCAGACUCCUACGGGAGGCAGCAGUAGGGAAUCUUCGGCAAUGGACGAAAGUCUGACCGAGCAACGCCGCGUGAGUGAAGAAGGUUUUCGGAUCGUAAAACUCUGUUGUUAGAGAAGAACAAGGACGUUAGUAACUGAACGUCCCCUGACGGUAUCUAACCAGAAAGCCACGGCUAACUACGUG